rnacentral:rRNA from 1 species
UACGUAGGGGGCAAGCGUUGUUCGGAAUUACUGGGCGUAAAGGGCGCGUAGGCGGCACAGCAAGUCGGGCGUGAAAGCCCGGGGCUCAACCCCGGAAUGGCUUUCGAAACUGCUGAGCUAGAGUACAGAAGGGGCAACCGGAAUUCCCAGUGUAGCGGUGAAAUGCGUAGAUAUUGGGAAGAAACCCUGAGGCGAAGGCGGGUUGCUGGGCUGAUACUGACGCUGAGGCGCGAAAGCCAGGGGAGCAAACGGG